UUUAAUUCCAUUAUCAUAGAAAUAUGAGAUAACAGUGGAUAUUUCCAGCAAAGAUCAUGGUGUUUCUUCUCUUGGACUAGGUCCAAUUUUUAUUUCCCAAUAGAAUACAAUGACAAACACAUAUUAGCACAUGUUUGGCAUAGGCUUGACACAUGCAGUGAGGCAAUUGUUGAUUACAUUUUAGUGACACAAAUAGUCAAGUUCAGACUAAAUAGUGAACAAACCAUUUUUUAGUGAUGCAUUCAAACAGGAAUUGGAUGGAUCCUCGCAAAAAGUACAUAGAGAGUUUGGAUGAAUAAUGGGUGUGCACACCUGAACUCAAUUGGAUCUUAAAGCAUCUGGAGUCAUGAUCUCUCUGAAUUUUGUAAUGAAAAAGAAGCAACAUGAUUGAGCUUUGGUACAUAACUAAAUAAAGCAUUAUGAAGAUAUGUAUGGAGCUAUUUGUUUUCUUUUUUGAAAGACUGAUGGAGUUAUUGUUUUAGGAUAAUAGUUCCAGCUAUAGUAACUAUAAUAAAUAUCCUGAUUUGGAUAACAUCAAGUCCAACAAAUAUCUUUGGAUAAUAUUAAAAGUAUAGUCGCUAUUUGGAUUGAACACCUUACCAAUAUUAUUUGGUAAGGUGUUCAAUCCAAAUAGUUAUUUGAUCAGGUUCAUGCUCUGAAUAUUCUAGACUAUCUGAAUUCAUGCAUUUGGAUGUUUGGCUUGCAGACACAAGUCAUUACCUGGAGGUCCAAAAGAUAAUCUCAGUGGAAGACAUACUCACAAAGAUCAAUGAUUUUCAUACUUUCUCAUUGUACUCACGAGGGAUGCCACUCCAUAGUAUUUGUAGGGAUCUGUAUUAUCUCUUUAACAUUGCACAACCUAAUAUGGAUCUCUUUACUUAGGAAGAGUUGUGCCCAAAUCCUUCAUGAAAUAUCUUAAACCUUGAUUGAUGGAUUUGGUUUCUGCAGGCUGCGUGGCUCAUCUUGAAGAACUUAAUCCACUAAACUACAAACACAUGGCUAUAUCACACCCGUAGGCUGAUUCAUACUAUGGUGGUGCAGUGGCAGCUUAUGGGCAUAUGGGCAGCAUGCUAUUGUGUACCGUGAUGUAGUCAAGCCCAUAAUUCAAAUUAUAUUUCAGAGAAUGAAAGAAACAUGUUUUGCUUGUGGCCAAAUAGGAUAGUUCUUACAAGGAAGCUUAUCUUAUACAUUAUAUUUUUAUGCAUAAAUGAAUUGUAGUUUGCGAUAGUUUAUGCUGAUCCUGUCAACAUCAUAUUGCGACCUUUUUCUGUCAUUAGUAUACUGGACUUUAUCAACUGCUUCAUGACAGAAUAUAGUGUUAUCCUUCCUAAAAGGCCGGAUAAUCAUGUCCAUUGAAAAUGCUACCAGUUGCAUUUUUGUUCCAUUGCCGAAUAUAAUAUACCUUUUCUACGUGCCAAUUAUAGAGGUUAGCAAAUAUUAACUGACUUAUCAUAAUUUUUUGGACCAUUUAUGAUCACAGUUUGAGUCAUUCGCUUUUUAUCUAUCCAUUUGCAGAACUAUUCAACUUGCAACUGUGGGGAUAAUGUAUUUCCAUAGGUGCAGUUUGUGAAGCACGUUUCAACAAUGCUCUUUAAAUGACACUAUACUACAAGAUGAGUGGAUCUUCAACAAACAGCCAAGAAGGUAAUUCUCUUUCAAAUUGAUGUAUAUAGCAUCUCAUCCUCUAGCUGCGCUACUUCAACAGAGCUCUAUAGUAAUAGUGUAAUAAGAAUGAACUUAAUACCAGUUAAAGAACACACUAAUGUUGGUUCAGAUUAUGAAUCUUCAUAAAGAUUCCCACUUUAUCGAUUGUAGUAUCCUAUAAACGUUAUAGUAUCAUGUGAAUUUGCAAGAUUUAGUUGCUUCAAUAGAUUAAUUUAUAUGACAUACUAAACCUCAGUUUAAGGCGACAAAUUUUGUACUAAUAACAUCUAGAAUAUCUAACUGAAAUUUCUGGAGUGGAUACAGUUUAGUCCCUUUUGUUUAUUUGUAAUACCUGAAGCUUCAUCAUAUGGUCAUGACAAUGGGAUGACAAGGGGCUCAUGCGAGAAAAUGAGCCAAAAAAUUGGUAAACUAACAUACCAGUCCCUCCAAUAGCACAACAAGGCAUCGAGACCUUCCCAAGUGAAGCAAGUGGGAAAUACAAUGUCAUUCCCAAGACCCCAAUCCAUUUCCUGUUUCUGUGUCUCUACUUAUGUAUGUUUGUAAAACUAUGAACCUGUAUAUAAUUAGAUAUCUACAACUGUACUCACCAGUCAAUGGAAAUAUUGUUCAUAUUAUUAGUUUAUACUGCCAGGUCA